rnacentral:rRNA from 1 species
AUCAACGCUGGCGGCGUGCCUAACACAUGCAAGUCGCACGAGAAAGGGCAGCAAUGCCUGAGUACAGUGGCGCACGGGUGAGUAACACGUGAAUGAUCUACCUCCGAGUGGGGAAUAACUGAGAGAAAUCUUAGCUAAUACCGCAUAACACUUACGAGUCGAAGCAGCAAUGCGCUUGGAGAGGAGUUCGCGGCAGAUUAGUUAGNGGCGGGGUAAUGGCCCACCAAGACGAUGAUCUGUAUCCGGCCUGAGAGGGCGCACGGACACACUGGAACUGAAACACGGUCCAGACUCCUACGGGAGGCAGCAGUGGGGAAUUUUGCGCAAUGGGGGAAACCCUGACGCAGCAACGCCGCGUGGAGGAUGAAAUCCCUUGGGAUGUAAACUCCUUUCGAUCGGGAAGAUAAUGACGGUACCGAGAGAAGAAGCCCCGGCUAACUUCGUGCCAACAGCCGCCGCU